UACGGGGGGGGGCAAGCGUUGUUCGGAAUUACUGGGCGUAAAGGGCUCGUAGGUGGCCAACUAAGUCAGACGUGAAAUCCCCAGGCUCAACUUGGGAACUGCGUCUGAUACUGGAUGGCUUGGAUUCGGGAGAGGGAUGCAGAAUUCCAGGUGUAGCGGUGAAAUGCGUAGAUAUCUGGAGGAAUACCGGUGGCGAAGGCGGCAUCCUGGACCGAGAUUUGACACUGAUGAGCGAAAGCUAGGGGAGCAAACGGG
rnacentral:rRNA from 1 species